AAACUAACAAGGAUUCCCCUAGUACGGCGAGUAAGCGGGAAAAGCUCAAAUUUGAAAUCUGGCAGCCUCAGGUUGCCCGAGUCGUAAUCUAUAGAAGCGUUUUCCUCGUUGGCCCAUGUACAACUCUCCUGGAAUGGAGCGUCAUAGAGGGUGAGAAUACCGUCCUUGACAUGGACUCCCACUGCUUUGUGAUACGUUUUCUAAGAGUCGAGUUGUUUGGGAAUACAGCUCAAAAUGGGUGGUAAAUUCCAUAUAAAGAUAAAUAUUGGCGAGAGACCGAUAUAGAACAAGUGCCGUGAGGGAAAGAGGAAAAGCACUUUGGAAAGAGAGAUAAACACUAUGUGAAAUUGUGGAAAGGGAAACGAUAGAAGUCACACAUGUGUAUUGGAGUCACACCGGUUCUGCGCGGUGUACUUCCUCUACGAGUGGGGUCAACAUCAAUUUUGAUCGGUGGAAAAGGGCAGGAGGAAUGUAGCACUCUCGGGGGAAGUUAUAGCCUUCUGUCGUAUACAGUGGUUGGGACUGAGGAACGCAGCAUGCCUUUAUGGCCGGGGUUCGCCCACGUACAGGCUAGGAGUGACAAAGUUCGGUUUUU
rnacentral:rRNA from 1 species